rnacentral:rRNA from 1 species
GGAUGCAAUCAUACCAGCACUACUGCACCGGAUUCCAUCAGAACUACGUAGUUAAGCGUGCUUGGGCGAGAACUGUACUAGAAUGGGUGACCUCCUGAGAAGUCCUCGUGUUACACCCC